rnacentral:rRNA from 1 species
UACGAAGGACCCAAGCGUUAUCCGGAUUUAUUGGGUUUAAAGGGUGCGUAGGCGGAUUAUUAAGUCAGUGGUGAAAGCCUGCAGCUUAACUGCAGAACUGCCAUUGAUACUGAUGAUCUUGAGUAUGAUUGAGGUGGGCAGAAUGUGUCAUGUAGCGGUGAAAUGCUUAGAGAUGACAUAGAACACCUAUUGCGAAGGCAGCUUACUACGCCUAUAUUGACGCUGAGGCACGAAAGCGUGGGGAUCAAACAGG